GGAUCUAGGCGGCUGUAGCCAGUUCUUCAUCACUCACGCGCGUAGCGGUCAUCUUCCCUCAGCUCGAGACGAGACGACUGUUCCAUCAGACAUGUCCGAUUACUCCAGAGUGGCUCUGCCGUCCUCAAACUCCGGUGGAGGGUCCACUGUAUAACAGAGCAAUACUGUAAUGAAAUUAGUGGGCUAAUGUCAGUCACACUCGACUUUCUGCCAAAUAACGAACAUUUUAUUCAUAAUAUUAUAAAUAGAGGCCUAUAGUUCCUGCACAUUUUUGUUUUCCUGUGUGAAAUGGCUAAUAAAAAUAAGUAAUGCAAAACGAUUAUGUGGUCACCUCACCAAGGUGAAUUGGUUUAGUCUUGACUUCUGGCCGUGACUCGUAACGUGGUGAGUGAGUGACAGUGUUGGGGGGCGGGGGAUGGGAAAUCUGUUGAUUGUCGAGUGCCAAAUAAACAGGGAUGGAUAGGAAAAGGUCAAAGCCAUCAGGUGCACAAUUUAGAAAAAAAAAGAAAAGAAGAAGAGGAGAAACGAGCAAAAGGUAAAGGGGCACUUCUAAAAUAUUUUGGAGCAUCCUCUGCCACUGGUCAGGAUGAGCCACCCACCUCCCCCGCUACACAGGCCUCUUCUGGAAUGGUCUCAACUCUUCAGGAUGAGCUACCAUGUAUGUCCUCAGCUACACAUAUGUCUUCACAAAUUUCUCCACAAAUAUCUGAUAUUGAGGAUGAAGUCAACUUUGCCUCUACUUCUCUCCAGCAUGAGCCUUCAGAAAUGCCUGGAGCUGAACCCCCACUGAGCCCCACUGCUGAGGAUGAGCCUCUGUCAACCGACCCUGCUAACUGGCCCUCACAUCUGACUGACAGGAUUCGGACUGAGCUGGUUCGCAGAGGACCAUGUAAGGUGCCACCUGGCUUUGUUUUCCGUAGGAAUGAGAGUGAUGGGAGAAGUUGCCACCACCAAUAUUUUAGGAAGACAUUAGUAAGUGGUGAAAAGAUGGCAAGAAGUUGGCUGAUUUAUUCAGUGAAGAACAAUAGCCUCUUUUGCUUCUGCUGCAAAUUGUUUUCCAAGAGGAACAUUAAUUUAACAAGUGCAGGAAUGGCAAAUUGGAAACAUGCGAGCGAUUACCUCACACCACACGAAAACAGUCCAGAACACCUCAAUUGCAUGAAAGCAUGGAAAUAACUGUCAGUGAGGUUAAAAAGUGGGGAAACUAUUGAUAAGCUGGAGAUGGCACUUCUGGAGGCUGAGAGGGUAAGAUGGAGAGCAGUGCUGACACGUCUCACUGCUAUCGUGCAGUCACUGGCACUUCGAAAUUUGGCUCUAAAGGGACACACAGAAACACUGUUCACACCAUCAAAUGGGAAUUUUCUCAAAGAGAAAUAGGUUUGAUCCCAUUAUGAAAGAUCACCUUAACCGUGUCGAAAGAGGAACAGCAAGUCAAAACAGCUACCUAGGCCAUCAUGUGCAGAAUGAGCUGAUUGAUUUGUUGAGCAGCAAAACCAUAUCUUCUAUAGUGGAUGACAUCAAGCAGGCAAAGUUUUUUUCUGUAAUUCUGGACUGCACCCCAGAUAUAAGUCACACAGAACAGUUGUCAGUGGUCAUUAGAGUGGUGUCACUGAUGGAGAAGCCCCAUAUCAGGGAACAUUUUAUGGGAUUUUUGGAGGCAGAGGAGUCCACAGGCCAGCACUUGGAAUCCAUGAUCCUGACGAGACUUGAGGAGUUGGGAAUUCCUUUUGAAGACUGCAGAGGACAGUCAUAUGACAACGGGGCAAACAGGAAAGGCAAAAAUAAGGGAGUUCAAGCCAGGCUCUUAGAAAAGAAUCCCUGAGCUCUGUUUGUGCCAUGUGGAGCGCAUACAUUGAAUUUAGUUGUGUGUGAUGCUGCUAAGGGAUCUGUUGAUGCUAUAAGUUACUUUGGUGUCCUGCAAAAGCUCUACACAUUAUUUUCAGCCUCCACCCAAAGAUGGGCCAUACUGAAAAACCAUGUGAGCAUCACCUUAAAGAUGGGGGCAGAAACAAGGUGGGAGAGCAAGGUCAAGAGCGUCGAGCCCACGAGGUACCAGGGAGCUGCCGUGAGAGAGGCUUUAAUUGAGGUGAGAGACCACACCAAAGACCCUGCUAUAAAGGCUGAGGCCCAGUCUUUGUCUGAGGAGGUGGGGUCAUACCGCUUCAGCAUCUGCACGGUUGUUUGGUAUGACAUGCUAUCUGCAAUACAGCAUGCCAGCAAACUCAUGCAGUCUCCUAGUAUGGAUGUGGACCUAGCUGUGAGUCUUUUGAAGAAGACUGAGCGAGAUCUCCAGAGCUACAGGGCAAGUGGCUUUGUGACUGCAUAGAUGGCGGCCAAAGACAUUUGUGAAGAGAUGAAUGUGGAGGCUGUUUUAAAACAAAAAAGGCUGAGGUCCACAAAGUGGCACUUCUCAUAUGAAUCACAUGAUGAGCCUUUCAGUGAUGCACUUAGGAAGUUGGAGGUUGGAUUCUUCAACUUUGUCGUUGAUGCAGCCACGUCAGCCAUCAAGGAGAGAUUUUCCACAUUGGAAAAUGUGGGAAAGAAAUUCGGGGUUUUGACAAAUUUCCCAAGUCUUGCAGGUGAGGAGCUGGCAGAGCAAUGCGAGGCACUAGGCAGCACACUGCACUUUAAGGGGCACUCUGAUGUGGACAGUAGAGAGCUUGUGCAGGAAAUUAAGAACUUCCUGAACUGCCAUCAAAGACCAUGAGCCUCCUUGAGCUUAUCACUUUUAUGCAUGAUAAGGAUCUAUCGGAGAUCUACCCCAAUUUUUGGACUGCUAUUGUCGUGGAAUAUCGCGAUGAAUCUCUCUAAGUUGUAAGAAAACUCUCGGAGUCUUGAGUUCCAGAUGCCAAAAUUGUAGUUUAUUGAACACCAACAAACAUGAGACCGGCCAGCUGUCCGUUCUGACUGUCUCCUCCUGAGUUCUCAGUUAUAUACCUUUUUGUUAUCUUCUUGCCCAUUAUCUCUGACCAAUAGAAUAAUUACUCUUGUCUCUUUCCUUCGCCACCAAUAUGUUCUAUUUUCCUCACUAAUUAAAUAUUGGUGGAAAAUCCCCCAUCUAAUAAUUUAAAAAAAAAAACUUACAUCAACUGGUAACUCCACUUAUCUUUGACAUAAGUCAUAGUUCAUGGUAAAAGUGCAUCAAUUUUAGAAACACCUGUGUAUGAGACAAACAGCCAUGUCCCUAUCACAUACCUUUUACCUUUGCCCUACAUUUCAGUGUACCCUCAUAAUGAGGCGGCCUUGUUUGUUCAUACACAGUAUCAUUUGAUUAAUGAAAGAAAAUAAAGCUCCAAAGAUAUUUAACUCAUCAAGGUAAAACACCAUGCCAGAAACAUAUCAUAUAAGAGAUAUCUAACUUAUUAAAAGUGUUUUCGUAAGAAGUGCAUCCUGUAUUUUAAUGAGACACACCAUAUAUUUUAGAGAUACGUGUCAGCAUAAAGGAAAUACACCAAAGAUAUAUGUCAGAAUACUACUAAUUAACAGAAACAGCAAAACACCAGCUGCAAAAAUACAAGACACCAUUCAUAUAAUAACUGAUUAAAGAAGUACAUCCUGUAUUUCAAGGUUGUAUACCAUUCUUUGUGUUCUCUGCAGCAUCAACACUUUUAGUAACCUCAUAUGCUCUCUCCUGGCUCAAACAAAGGCCUAGAAACUCAUAUAAGUAUUUUGAUAUCUAAGAAUGAUUAUUAUACCAUCUAAAAAAUGAUUAUUCUACAAUAUAUUCCCCCCUCUGGGACUAAAAGUCCCACAUACUAAGUCCCUCAAACCACAGUAUAGCCACAUAAGCCAGCCAAUUUAAUACAACCGUAGCCAAAAUAGGCUACGCACUAAGUUAUCAAUACCAUGCUGAUGGGGCCACACUCUGCAGGAUUGUGAACCAAACCUCUCCCUCCACAAUCAGCUAGAAGGAAGUAAAAGAUUCCAAUCCUCUUAUCUAUUGUCAAUAAUGGG